rnacentral:rRNA from 1 species
ACACAUGCAAGUCGAACGAGAAACCCGAGCUUGCUCGGGUGGACAGUGGCAGACGGCUUAGUAACGCGUGGGUAUCUACCUAGAGGUUUGGAACAACUACUGGAAACGAUAGCUAAUACCAAAUAUUCCCUACGGGGGAAAGAUUUAUCGCCUUUAGAUGAGCCCGCGUCGGAUUAGCUUGUUGGUAGGGUAAAGGCCUACCAAGGCUACGAUCCGUAGCUGGUCUGAGAGGAUGAUCAGCAAGAUUGGGACUGAGACACGGCCCAGACUCCUACGGGAGGCAGCAGUGGGGAAUAUUGCGCAAUGGGGGAAACCCUGACGCAGCGAUGCCGCGUGAGUGAAGAAGGCCCUAGGGUUGUAAAACUCUUUCACCGGUGAAGAUAAUGACGGUAGCCGGAGAAGAAGCCCCGGCUAACUCCGUG